AGAGUUUGAUCCUGGCUCAGGAUGAACGCUGGCGGCGUGCCUAAUACAUGCAAGUCGAACGAAACUUCUUUAUCACCGAGUGCUUGCACUCACCGAUAAAGAGUUGAGUGGCGAACGGGUGAGUAACACGUGGGCAACCUUCCCAAAAGAGGGGGAUAACACUUGGAAACAGGUGCUAAUACCGCAUAACCAUGGUUACCGCAUGGUAACUAUGUAAAAGGUGGCUAUGCUACCGCUUUUGGAUGGGCCCGCGGCGCAUUAGCUAGUUGGUGAGGUAAAGGCUUACCAAGGCAAUGAUGCGUAGCCGAACUGAGAGGUUGAUCGGCCACAUUGGGACUGAGACACGGCCCAAACUCCUACGGGAGGCUGCAGUGGGGAAUCUUCCGCAAUGGACGAAAGUCUGACGGAGCAACGCCGCGUGAGUGAUGACGGCCUUCGGGUCGUAAAACUCUGUUGUUGGAGAAGAAUGGUCGGCAGAGUAACUGUUGUCGGCGUGACGGUAUCCAACCAGAAAGCCACGGCUAACUACGUGCCAGCAGCCGCGGUAAUACGUAGGUGGCAAGCGUUAUCCGGAAUUAUUGGGCGUAAAGAGGGAGCAGGCGGCAGCAAGGGUCUGUGGUGAAAGACUGAAGCUUAACUUCAGUAAGCCAUAGAAACCGGGCAGCUAGAGUGCAGGAGAGGAUCGUGGAAUUCCAUGUGUAGCGGUGAAAUGCGUAGAUAUAUGGAGGAACACCAGUGGCGAAGGCGACGAUCUGGCCUGUAACUGACGCUCAGUCCCGAAAGCGUGGGGAGCAAAUAGGAUUAGAUACCCUAGUAGUCCACGCCGUAAACGAUGAGUACUAAGUGUUGGAAGUCAAAUUUCAGUGCUGCAGUUAACGCAGUAAGUACUCCGCCUGAGUAGUACGUUCGCAAGAAUGAAACUCAAAGGAAUUGACGGGGGCCCGCACAAGCGGUGGAGCAUGUGGUUUAAUUCGAAGCAACGCGAAGAACCUUACCAGGUCUUGACAUACUCAUAAAUGUUCCAGAGAUGGAAAGAUAGCUAUAUGAGAUACAGGUGGUGCAUGGUUGUCGUCAGCUCGUGUCGGGAGAUGUUGGGUUAAGUCCCGCAACGAGCGCAACCCUUAUUGUUAGUUGCCAGCAUUAAGUUGGGCACUCUAGCAAGACUGCCGGUGACAAACCGGAGGAAGGUGGGGAUGACGUCAAAUCAUCAUGCCCCUUAUGACCUGGGCUACACACGUGCUACAAUGGACGGUACAACGAGUCGCAAGACCGCGAGGUUUAGCAAAUCUCUUAAAGCCGUUCUCAGUUCGGAUUGUAGGCUGCAACCCGCCUCCAUGAAGUUGGAAUCGCUAGUAAUCGCGGAUCAGCAUGCCGCGGUGAAUACGUUCCCGGGCCUUGCACUCACCGCCCGUCAA
rnacentral:rRNA from 1 species